rnacentral:misc_RNA from 1 species
UGUUGUGGCAAGCGGUACUAUAUUGUACCGUUAGUCGAGGCGCGUGGCCGCGAGAGUGCCGUCGACAGAGUGCCGGACGGAGCAACCCCUCCUCUCGCGAUUUCCUGGCGGUGGAGGAAGGAGUCGGGAGCGGGAGUGAUUUGGUGUUCGGAGGUACAUGGAGGGGAUCCCGCACCUUGGUGGGGAUGCGUCGCGUGCGUGGUGGGCACUCGCCCGGCGGCAAGGAGUCGGAAGGGGUGAAUCACCUUUUGCGAACUGCUGACGCUCGACCAUGAUCAAAACUUCGAAAACUUUUAUUAAAAUCCUUGUACUUUGUAUUCUUUUAUUGCGUAACUAAAUAUUCGAAGAACGGCCAUUUUUGUUACAAGUCUUUAUGCUGCCCAUUUUAUUCACCUUUGUAUUCUUUUGUCAUCUAUUAGAUCACCAUUGUGUCCAAAAUGUUUUGUUUAUUAAAUCUAACAAAGUAUUAUACUGCUACGCAAAUCUACGGUUACUCUGGAAACAGUAGUAACUGUAUCGAGGUCAUUGACACUGCCAUGUAGGUUCUUUAGACCUUAAAACUUUCUACUAAGUGUUGCUUGACUUGCUUGAGAAAAUAUUCUUCAUUAUCGAAUAAUGAAGACCGAAAAACGUUUAGCAACCGCAUGAAAAAUGCGCAUUUUCGCAUGCAUGAAACUAAUAAUAGCGUCAAGUUACCCAACGAGCAAGGCACUCACUGAACCGGAGCCACACCUUGUAUGUCUUGUGAAAGUUCAGUAAAGAGAAAGUGAGUAUCAUGUUAGACACACGCACACAGUACGAGAGUGUACCGCGUAUAGCAAACUCGCCUGUCGACUAAACUUUCUUUAACCCACUUUCUUAGUUUCUCGUUGAAUAAAUUUUAGUGUAGUGUCGCGUUUGGUGGCCGGUAGUGGUAUGCCGUAGCCCUACCAUCACCAUCCCAGCAGUCCAGACCCCAGUGGUGGGAUAGUGGGACGUGGGGGUCGAUUUAAGUGGGACAGUGAUUUUUCCGCGCGGCGGCGGCGGCGAUAUGUGCGACAUGCAGAAAAUGCCUACCAGAGAUGAUGCUUCUUGUGACGAAGACUCGGAGAUGAAUUUCGCAGCAUUCUCCACAGCGAAUGCUGCGGGGACACACUUUGUGACCACCACCGGGCAGCUGCCGGUGACAAAGCUGCAGCAAAAUGUCGCCAGCAAUGGAAGCACUUUGCAACAGGUGGUGGGUAUGGUGGGCAACGACGGUGGAGUGCAGUACGUGCGCGCGGACGGGCUGCAGGCCACGCCGCAGCUCAUCACGCUGCCUAUUUCACUGCCCGGAGCCAAGCCGGGCGACCCGCAGCCCACGGUGCAGAUCCAGGUGCUGAGCCCCAACAUCCUGCAGCAGCAGCAGCCCAAGUACCAGAUGCAGAUCCCCAUCCAGGGCUUCCAACAAGGCGGCGCGGUGCUGACGGUGGCGUACUCGCCCGACAACAGCGACGGGCUGCAGGUGCUCGGCAACACGCUGCCGGAAGGCCUGCAGGUGUUGGCGGCGCUGCCGCAAGACAUGCAGCUGGUCCAACAGAUGCAGGACAACAAGGAGCAGAUCCAGCAGGCCAUCCAACACCAGGUGUUCAUAACCCCGAACCAGCAGAUAGUGAUCAACGGCCCUGAGGACACCAAACUGAACAACAACAACACCAUCACCAACAACAACCAGGGCGUCACCAACAUCGUCAUCAAGGAGGAGUGCGAUGACAACGCCAAUGAUGACGAGAGCUCACAAGGCACGGAGUCCAGUGAAAACAUGCAGUGGCAAAUCAGCAGCUCGCAGCAGGACCUCAUCAAGUACCUCAACCAGUUCCAGCCACAGCAGCAACCGACGCUGCCGGUGUCGCUGCAGCAGUUCCUGCGCAUCAACCCGGCGGCGGCGGACGGCAAGAAGGAGCCCGGCGUGGAGAUCGAGGUGCUGCCCAUGGACCACGACAAGGAGCCGCUGGCGGAGGCCGUCGUCGGAGAAGACGGCUCCCUAAGAAUACAGCCGAAAAAGAAGAAAAAGUACAAAAAGAAAGCGCCGAAACCCGCACGACCAAAACCAGGACAAGUGGUGAUCGCCAACGCGGCCGACGGCUCUCCCAUCUACUGCUGCCCGCAGUGCCAGAUGGCCUACCCCGAGAAGGAACAGCUGGAGAUGCACCUGUCGGUCCAUGAGAUUGAGAGGCGGUUUAUCUGUGGCAUCUGCGGGGCUGGUUUGAAACGCAAGGAGCACUUGGAGCGACACAAGCUGGGCCACAACCCCGAGCGACCCUACGUGUGCGGCGUGUGCCGCAAGGGCUUCAAGCGGCGCGAGCACCUCAACCUGCACACCGUCAUACACUCCGGCGUCAAGACCGAAGUGUGCCCCGAGUGCGGCAAGGGUUUCUACCGCAAGGACCACCUGCGCAAGCACAUGCGCUCGCACGAGAGCAAGCGCCUGCGCGACGACGCGGCCGAGGGCGCGGGCGCGGGCGCGGGCGUCACCGUGGCGCCUGCGCCCUGCGCGUCCCCGGCGCCCGGCAACAACACUAUCCUGCCCGAGAUCACCAUACACGUCUAACAUUUUGGAAUAUGCUCUUCACAGGGACCACAAAUUAGUUAGGGCAUGCAUGUGCCAACGAGCGCGAACAUGCAAGUGCCGGUGCAGAUCAACAUCCCGCAGCACGUGGUGUCGUCGCUGCAGGCCGCGGCCGACACGCACGCCGCGCAGGCGCAGCUCGACGCGCUGCUCGCGCAGGCGCACGCGCACG